rnacentral:tRNA from 1 species
AUUAUUUUGGCAGAAAAGUGUAAUAGAUUUAGAAUCUAUAAAUGUAAUUAGUUAUUACAAAUAAUA